rnacentral:rRNA from 1 species
AUUGAACGCUGGCGGCAGGCCUAACACAUGCAAGUCGAACGAGUGGCGGACGGGUGAGUAAUGUCUGGGAACCUGCCUGAUGGAGGGGGAUAACUACUGGAAACGGUAGCUAAUACCGCAUACCAUCAGAUGUGCCCAGAUGGGAUUAGCUAGUUGGUGGGGUAACGGCUCACCAAGGCGACGAUCCCUAGCUGGUCUGAGAGGAUGACCAGCCACACGGGAACUGAGACACGGUCCAGACUCCUACGGGAGGCAGCAGUGGGGAAGCUUGCACAAUGGGCGCAAGCCUGAUGGAGCAAUGCCGCGUGUAUGAAGAAGGCCUUCGGGUUGUAAAGUACUGUUAUCAGGGAGGCGGUACCCGCAGAAGAAGCAACGGCUAACUCCGUGCCAGCAGCCGCGGUAAUUC